rnacentral:rRNA from 1 species
AGUAGUGNCGAGCGAAAGGGGAGUAGCCUAAACUUUAAAUGUGUCAAGCUGCAGAGCGUUGCAUUUAGAGGGUUGUAGGACGCUUGAAGCUUAGUCUGUAAUAAGCUGAGAAGUCACNAAAUAUUUAUAUAGAAGAAUAACUUGGAAAAGUUAGCCAGAGAAGGUGAUAGCCCUGUAAUUUAAAUGUAAAUAUCUUCUUANAGAUGUUCCUAAGUAGGACGGGACACGAGAAACCCUGUCUGAAGCUGGGGAGACCACUCUCCAAGGCUAAAUACUAUAAAGCUACCNAUAGNGANGAGN